CAGUAGCCACGGGAAUACAGAGGGUGCGAGCGUUAAUCGGAUUUACUGGGCGUAAAGCGUGCGUAGGCGGCUUCUUAAGUCGGAUGUGAAAUCCCUGAGCUUAACUUAGGAAUUGCAUUCGAUACUGGGAAGCUAGAGUAUGGGAGAGGAUGGUAGAAUUCCAGGUGUAGCGGUGAAAUGCGUAGAGAUCUGGAGGAAUACCGAUGGCGAAGGCAGCCAUCUGGCCUAAUACUGACGCUGAGGUACGAAAGCAUGGGGAGCAAACAGGAUUAGAGACCCCAGUAGUCCCUGUCUCUUAUAC
rnacentral:rRNA from 1 species